rnacentral:rRNA from 1 species
ACAGCAGCCGCCGCGGUAAUACGUAGGUGGCAAGCGUUGUCCGGAAUUAUUGGGCGUAAAGGGCUCGCAGGCGGUUUCUUAAGUCUGAUGUGAAAGCCCCCGGCUCAACCGGGGAGGGUCAUUGGAAACUGGGAAACUUGAGUGCAGAAGAGGAGAGUGGAAUUCCACGUGUAGCGGUGAAAUGCGUAGAGAUGUGGAGGAACACCAGUGGCGAAGGCGACUCUCUGGUCUGUAACUGACGCUGAGGAGCGAAAGCGUGGGGAGCGAACAGGAUUAGAUACCCCCGUAGUCCCUGUCUCUUAUAA